rnacentral:rRNA from 1 species
AUGGGGUGCAGCAGGCGCGAAAACUUCACACUGUGCGAAAGCACGAUGAGGGAAUCCCAAGUGCUUGCACGUAAGUGUAAGCUGUUUCUUUGUUUAAAAAGCAAGGAGAGGAAGGGCUGGGUAAGACGGGUGCCAGCCGCCGCGGUAAUACCUGCAGCUCAAGUGGUGACCGCUAUUAUUGGGCCUAAAACGUCCGUAGCCGGCUGAGUAAAUGCUUGGGUAAAUCGUGUAGCUUAACUAUACGAAUUCCGGGUAGACUGCAUAGCUUGGGACCGGGAGAAGCUAGAGGUACUCCUGGGGUAGAGGUGAAAUUCUGUAAUCCUGGGGGGACCACCAGUGGCGAAGGCGUCUAGCUAGAACGGGUCUGACGGUGAGGGACGAAACCCUGGGGCGCAAACCGGAUUAGAUACCCGGGUAGUCCAGGGCGCAAACGCUGCUUGCUUGAUGUUAGUCGGGCUCCGAGCUCGACUAGUGUCGGAGAGAAGUUGUUAAGCAAGCUGCCUGGGAAGUACGAUCGCAAGAUUGAAACUUAAAGGAAUUGGCGGGGGAGCAC